rnacentral:rRNA from 1 species
GGAAAGGCCCUGCUUGCAGGGUACUCGAGUGGCGAACGGGUGAGUAACACGUGGGUGAUCUGCCCUGCACUUCGGGAUAAGCCUGGGAAACUGGGUCUAAUACCGGAUAGGAGCCAUUUUUAGUGUGAUGGUUGGAAAGUUUUUUCGGUGUAGGAUGAGCUCGCGGCCUAUCAGCUUGUUGGUGGGGUAAUGGCCUACCAAGGCGGCGACGGGUAGCCGGCCUGAGAGGGUGGACGGCCACAUUGGGACUGAGAUACGGCCCAGACUCCUACGGGAGGCAGCAGUGGGGAAUAUUGCACAAUGGGCGCAAGCCUGAUGCAGCGACGCCGCGUGGGGGAUGACGGCCUUCGGGUUGUAAACUCCUUUCGCUAGGGACGAAGCUUUUUGUGACGGUACCUAGAUAAGAAGCACCGGCUAACUACGUGCCAGCAGCCGCGGUAAUACGUAGGGUGCGAGCGUUGUCCGGAAUUACUGGGCGUAAAGGGCUCGUAGGUGGUUUGUCGCGUCGUCUGUGAAAUUCCGGGGCUUAACUCCGGGCGUGCAGGUGAUACGGGCAUAACUUGAGUACUGUAGGGGUAACUGGAAUUCCUGGUGUAGCGGUGAAAUGCGCAGAUAUCAGGAGGAACACCGAUGGCGAAGGCAGGU